CGGCGGCUCGAGUGGUAACCGUUAUUAUUGGGUCUAAAGGGUCUGUAGCCGGCCGGAUAAGUCUCUUGAGAAAUCUGGCAGCUUAACUGUCAGGCUUUCAGGAGAUACUGUCUGGCUCGAGGCCGGGAGAGGUGAGAGGUACUUCAGGGGUAGGGGUGAAAUCUUGUAAUCCUUGAAGGACCACCAGUGGCGAAGGCGUCUCACCAGAACGGACCUGACGGCAAGGGACGAAAGCUAGGGGCACGAACCGGAUUAGAUACCCGGGUAGUCCUAGCCGUAAACGAUACUCGCUAGGUGUCGGCCACGGUGCGACCGUUGUCGGUGCCGUAGGGAAGCCGUGAAGCGAGCCACCUGGGAAGUACGGCCGCAAGGCUGAAACUUAAAGGAAUUGGCGGGGGAGCACCACAACGGGUGGAGCUUGCGGUUUAAUUGGAUUCAACGCCGGAAAUCUUACCGGGACCGACAGCAAUAUGAAGGCCAGGCUGAAGACUUUGCCGGAUUAGCUGAGAGGUGGUGCAUGGCCGUCGUCAGUUCGUACUGUGAAGCAUCCUGUUAAGUCAGGCAACGAGCGAGACCCACGCCCACAGUUGCCAGCGUACUCUCUGGAGUGACGGGUACACUGUGGGGACCGCCGCUGCUAAAGCGGAGGAAGGAAUGGGCAACGGUAGGUCAGUAUGCCCCGAAUAUCCCGGGCUACACGCGAGCUACAAUGGUUGGUACAAUGGGUAUCUACCCCGAAAGGGGACGGGAAUCUCCUAAAACCAAUCUUAGUUCGGAUUGAGGGCUGCAACUCGCCCUCAUGAAGCUGGAAUCCGUAGUAAUCGCGUUUCAACAGAACGCGGUGAAUACGUCCCUGCUCCUU
rnacentral:rRNA from 1 species